rnacentral:lncRNA from 1 species
GUCAAACCAUUUCAUUCAAACCCUCUUUCUCUCUCUCCACCAAACCACUAUUAUUAUUAUUAUUAUUUUAUACGUUACCUCAUUUUUCUUCUUUCCAAGCCCAACACCCAAUCUCUCUUUCUCUCUCAUCUAAAAUAAUCCACUUACCCAAUACCCCAACUCUCUCUUCAACAAAUCGUAUUUUUUUUAUUACUAUAUGUUACUCUCUUUCUCUCGCUUAAACCAAAGCAUUAUUCCUUUUUUUUAAUAGGGUACUCCCUUUUUAUAAAAGAACCCAAUAUUCAACCCUUUUUUCCCGAAUCCACAUGUCAAGCACCCCUUCUCUUACUUCACUUUACCUUCUUCCAUGUGUCAAGUUCUAUAUCUCUCUUAAGUAACUUUUAUCUUAUUUUAUUAAAACAUUCUCCUCCAAACUAAUUCGUUUGUCCUAUUUUAUUGAAACAUUCUAUCUCUUAACUAAAGAACUUUUAUUAUUAUUAUUAUUAUUACUAUUAUUCUCG